rnacentral:rRNA from 1 species
AUUGAACGCUGGCGGCAUGCUUUACACAUGCAAGUCGAACGGUAACAGGCCGCAAGGUGCUGACGAGUGGCGAACGGGUGAGUAAUGCAUCGGAACGUGCCCAGUCGUGGGGGAUAACGCAGCGAAAGCUGUGCUAAUACCGCAUACGAUCUGUGGAUGAAAGCGGGGGACCGAAAGGCCUCGCGCGAUUGGAGCGGCCGAUGUCAGAUUAGGUAGUUGGUGGGGUAAAGGCCCACAAAGCCAACGAUCUGUAGCUGGUCUGAGAGGACGACCAGCCACACUGGGACUGAGAAACGGCCCAGACUCCUACGGGAGGCAGCAGUGGGGAAUUUUGGACAAUGGGCGCAAGCCUGAUCCAGCAAUGCCGCGUGCAGGAAGAAGGCCUUCGGGUUGUAAACUGCUUUUGUACGGAACGAAACGGUCUGGGUUAAUACCCUGGGCUAAUGACGGUACCGUAAGAAUAAGCACCGGCUAACUACGUGCCAGCAGCCGCAGUAACAC